AUGAACGCUGGCGGCGUGCCUAAUACAUGCAAGUCGAACGAGUUCUCGUUGAUGAUCGGUGCUUGCACCGAGAUUCAACAUGGAACGAGUGGCGGACGGGUGAGUAACACGUGGGUAACCUGCCCUUAAGUGGGGGAUAACAUUUGGAAACAGAUGCUAAUACCGCAUAGAUCCAAGAACCGCAUGGUUCUUGGCUGAAAGAUGGCGUAAGCUAUCGCUUUUGGAUGGACCCGCGGCGUAUUAGCUAGUUGGUGAGGUAAUGGCUCACCAAGGCGAUGAUACGUAGCCGAACUGAGAGGUUGAUCGGCCACAUUGGGACUGAGACACGGCCCAAACUCCUACGGGAGGCAGCAGUAGGGAAUCUUCCACAAUGGACGCAAGUCUGAUGGAGCAACGCCGCGUGAGUGAAGAAGGCUUUCGGGUCGUAAAACUCUGUUGUUGGAGAAGAAUGGUCGGCAGAGUAACUGUUGUCGGCGUGACGGUAUCCAACCAGAAAGCCACGGCUAACUACGUGCCAGCAGCCGCGGUAAUACGUAGGUGGCAAGCGUUAUCCGGAUUUAUUGGGCGUAAAGCGAGCGCGGGCGGUUUUUUAAGUCUGAUGUGGAAGCCCUCGGCUUAACCGAGGAAGCGCAUCGGAAACUGGGAAACUUGAGUGCAGAAGAGGACAGUGGAACUCCAUGUGUAGCGGUGAAAUGCGUAGAUAUAUGGAAGAACACCAGUGGCGAAGGCGGCUGUCUGGUCUGUAACUGACGCUGAGGCUCGAAAGCAUGGGUAGCGAACAGGAUUAGAUACCCUGGUAGUCCAUGCCGUAAACGAUGAAUGCUAGGUGUUGGAGGGUUUCCGCCCUUCAGUGCCGCAGCUAACGCAUUAAGCAUUCCGCCUGGGGAGUACGACCGCAAGGUUGAAACUCAAAGGAAUUGACGGGGGCCCGCACAAGCGGUGGAGCAUGUGGUUUAAUUCGAAGCAACGCGAAGAACCUUACCAGGUCUUGACAUCUUUUGAUCACCUGAGAGAUCAGGUUUCCCCUUCGGGGGCAAAAUGACAGGUGGUGCAUGGUUGUCGUCAGCUCGUGUCGUGAGAUGUUGGGUUAAGUCCCGCAACGAGCGCAACCCUUAUGACUAGUUGCCAGCAUUUAGUUGGGCACUCUAGUAAGACUGCCGGUGACAAACCGGGGGAAGGUGGGGAUGACGUCAAAUCAUCAUGCCCCUUAUGACCUGGGCUACACACGUGCUACAAUGGAUGGUACAACGAGUUGCGAGACCGCGAGGUCAAGCUAAUCUCUUAAAGCCAUUCUCAGUUCGGACUGUAGGCUGCAACUCGCCUACACGAAGUCGGAAUCGCUAGUAAUCGCGGAUCAGCACGCCGCGGUGAAUACGUUCCCGGGCCUUGUACACACCGCCCGUCACACCAUGAGGGUUUGUAACACCCGAAGCCGGUGGCGUAACCCUUUUAGGGAGCGAGCCGUCUAAGGUGGGACAAAUGAUUAGGGUG
rnacentral:rRNA from 1 species